AUUGAACGCUGGCGGCAGGCCUAACACAUGCAAGUCGAACGAGUGGCGGACGGGUGAGUAAUGUCUGGGAAACUGCCCGAUGGAGGGGGAUAACUACUGGAAACGGUAGCUAAUACCGCAUACCAUCGGAUGUCCCCAGAUGGGUUUAGUUAGUAGGUGGGUGAACGGCUAACCUAGGCGACGAUCCCUAACUGGUCUGAGAGGAUGACCAGCCACACGGGAACUGAGACACGGUCCAGACUCCUACGGGAGGCAGCAGUGGGGAAUAUUGCACAAUUGGCGCAAGCCUGAUGCAGCCAUGCCGCGUGUAUGAAGAAGGCCUUCGGGUUGUAAGGUACUUUCAGCGAGGAGGCGUUACUCGCAGAAGAAGCACCGGCUAACUCCGUGCCAGCAGCCGCGGUAAUUC
rnacentral:rRNA from 1 species